AGUACACUCCUGCGGGAGGCAGCAGUGGGGAAUUUUGGACAAUGGGCGAAAGCCUGAUCCAGCAAUGCCGCGUGAGUGAAGAAGGCCUUCGGGUUGUAAAGCUCUUUUGUCAGGGAAGAAACGGUGAGAGCUAAUAUCUUUUGCUAAUGACGGUACCUGAAGAAUAAGCACCGGCUAACUACGUGCCAGCAGCCGCGGUAAUACGUAGGGUGCAAGCGUUAAUCGGAAUUACUGGGCGUAAAGCGUGCGCAGGCGGUUUUGUAAGUCUGAUGUGAAAUCCCCGGGCUCAACCUGGGAAUUGCAUUGGAGACUGCAAGGCUAGAAUCUGGCAGAGGGGGGUAGAAUUCCACGUGUAGCAGUGAAAUGCGUAGAUAUGUGGAGGAACACCGAUGGCGAAGGCAGCCCCCUGGGUCAAGAUUGACGCUCAUGCACGAAAGCGUGGGGAGCAAACAGGAUUAGAAACCCGUGUAGUCCCAUGAU
rnacentral:rRNA from 1 species